GAAGAGCCAAAGGAUAGUCACAUUUCAAAUUUUAAAAAUGAAGACAGAAAAACAGGCAGAAAUGGAUCGAACUUGGCUCCUUGCACUUGUGCAGCAGGCAGUGAAACCACUGAGCUAAAUCCCCGGCCAAAGACAUCAUUUUGAUGUGACGAGUAGACUUGUAAUGAAUAAAACUCCCUUUCCUAGAAUCUUCAAAACUGCACGUGUUUGAGGGGAAAGGACUGGAAGAAGACGUCGAAAGAUGUGGCUGAACGUGCACUUCCAGUCCGAGCGGAGGGGCAAGAGAGGACAGAACCUCCCGCACAAGAAG
rnacentral:lncRNA from 1 species